GGGGAAUAUUGCACAAUGGGCGCAAGCCUGAUGCAGCCAUGCCGCGUGUAUGAAGAAGGCCUUCGGGUUGUAAAGUACUUUCAGCGAGGAGGAAGGCAUUGUGGUUAAUAACCACAGUGAUUGACGUUACUCGCAGAAGAAGCACCGGCUAACUCCGUGCCAGCAGCCGCGGUAAUACGGAGGGUGCAAGCGUUAAUCGGAAUUACUGGGCGUAAAGCGCACGCAGGCGGUUGAUUAAGUCAGAUGUGAAAUCCCCGAGCUUAACUUGGGAACUGCAUUUGAAACUGGUCAGCUAGAGUCUUGUAGAGGGGGGUAGAAUUCCAGGUGUAGCGGUGAAAUGCGUAGAGAUCUGGAGGAAUACCGGUGGCGAAGGCGGCCCCCUGGACAAAGACUGACGCUCAGGUGCGAAAGCGUGGGGAGCAAAC
rnacentral:rRNA from 1 species